rnacentral:rRNA from 1 species
UACGUAGGGACCGAGCGUUGUCCGGAAUCAUUGGGCGUAAAGAGCGUGUAGGCGGCCACUUAAGUCCUGCGUGAAAUCUUGCGGCUCAACCGCAAGCGGUCGUGGGAAACUGGGUGGCUAGAGUGCGGGAGAGGAGAGUGGAAUUCCUGGUGUAGCGGUGGAAUGCGCAGAUAUCAGGAAGAACACCCGUGGCGAAGGCGGCUCUCUGGACAUUUCCUGACGCUGAGGCACGAAAGCCAGGGGAGCAAACGGG